AUACGGAGGGUGCAAGCGUUAUUCGGAAUCACUGGGCGUAAAGGACGCGUAGGCGGGGUGGCAAGUCAGAUGUGAAAUCCUACAGCUUAACUGUAGAACUGCAUUUGAAACUGCUAACCUAGAGUAUGGGAGGGGGAGAUGGAAUUAGUGGUGUAGGGGUAAAAUCCGUAGAUAUCACUAGGAAUACCGAAAGCGAAGGCGAUCUCCUGGAACAUAACUGACGCUAAGGCGUGAAAGCGUGGGGAGCAAACAGGAUUAGAAACCCCAGUAGUCC
rnacentral:rRNA from 1 species